UUUUAAUAAUUAUUUUAAUUUUAAGAACAACUUUUUAAAAGUUUAUAAAUUAUAAUAUUAUUUUAAUUUAUGUAAGGAGAGUUCAAAUUUUAAAAGAUUUAAAUUGAUAAAACCAUUUCUUUAUUUCAGAGAAAGAUAUAUGGCUGAAGUUAUGAAAUUUGUAUAUAUUAUGAUUAUCUUUAUUUCUAUCUUUCUUGUGCAAUUCAACAAUGGAAGAGUUGCUACAUGUGGAAAAGAUACAGAUUGUACAAGUUUUCUUGUGUGGUGCACACCCCCACUGAUAGUGAAGUGUAAUAAUAGACAAUGCAAAUGUGCUGAUGUGAUAGCAUUUAGUUAAUAAUGUUCACAUAUGAUUCUAAAUUUAAUUUGGUAUCCAAGAGAGUAUACAAGUUCUCUUCAAGAAUAAUUAAUACUCUUCGAAUGCUCUUCUAAGCUUUUAA